AUGUGCUUUUUUAUUUUUAUUUUAUUUUUCUAAAUUUUUCAGUGAGUGACUGCCCUAUAUAUGUAUGCACACAUACUGCUCAAACCCUAAACCCUAUGCUCUUACUUCAAUUAUCUUGCCUUUUAAGCGCCGCGCACUGAAACCCUAAUUUAACAUUAGCUGUAACUAGUGUAAUCGUCGACUCAAUUUUUUCAACAUGGCCAGUGAUGCGAUUCUAUAUUGCGACUGAAAGUGCAAGGUGUCAAACUUUGUAUAAAUGUCGAGAUUCAUGAACUAGGACGGUCUGAGGCUUUUUGUUUUUUCAUUUCAACUUGUUUUUUUUAGUAUUUUCGUGGAUUGGAAUUAUUUUCCAAUUUUUAUUUAUAUAAAGGAAAAAAAUUGAAUUGCUGUGGGUGAUGAGACUAUAAAUUUACAGUUAUCCCUGUC